rnacentral:rRNA from 1 species
GGCCCCGCACAAGCGGUGGAGCAUGUGGUUUAAUUCGAUGCAACGCGAAGAACCUUACCCAGGACUUGACAUACUACAAAUUCUUUUGAGAAAAAGAAGUGCCUUCGGGAAUGUAGAUACAGGUGGUGCAUGGCUGUCGUCAGCUCGUGUCGUGAGAUGUUGGUUAAGUCCCGCAACGAGCGCAACCCCCUAUCUUUAGUUGCCAGCAUUAAGUUGGGCACUCUAGAGAGACUGCCCGGGUUAACCGGGAGGAAGGUGGGGAUGACGUCAAGUCCUCAUGGCCCCUUAUGCCCUAGGGCUACACACGUAAUACAAUGGUAUGCACAAAGGGAAGCGACCCGGCGACGGU